rnacentral:rRNA from 1 species
GAGUGGCGGACGGGUGAGUAAUGUCUGGGAAACUGCCUGAUGGAGGGGGAUAACUACUGGAAACGGUAGCUAAUACCGCAUAACGUCGCAAGACCAAAGAGGGGACCUUCGGGCCUCUUGCCAUCAGAUGUGCCCAGAUGGGAUUAGCUAGUAGGUGGGGUAACGGCUCACCUAGGCGACGAUCCCUAGCUGGUCUGAGAGGAUGACCAGCCACACUGGAACUGAGACACGGUCCAGACUCCUACGGGAGGCAGCAGUGGGGAAUAUUGCACAAUGGGCGCAAGCCUGAUGCAGCCAUGCCGCGUGUAUGAAGAAGGCCUUCGGGUUGUAAAGUACUUUCAGCGGGGAGGAAGGGAGUAAAGUUAAUACCUUUGCUCAUUGACGUUACCCGCAGAAGAAGCACCGGCUAACUCCGUGCCAGCAGCCGCGGUAAUACGGAGGGUGCAAGCGUUAAUCGGAAUUACUGGGCGUAAAGCGCACGCAGGCGGUUUGUUAAGUCAGAUGUGAAAUCCCCGGGCUCAACCUGGGAACUGCAUCUGAUACUGGCAAGCUUGAGUCUCGUAGAGGGGGGUAGAAUUCCAGGUGUAGCGGUGAAAUGCGUAGAGAUCUGGAGGAAUACCGGUGGCGAAGGCGGCCCCCUGGACGAAGACUGACGCUCAGGUGCGAAAGCGUGGGGAGCAAACAGGAUUAGAU